rnacentral:rRNA from 1 species
GACGAACGCUGGCGGCGUGCUUAACACAUGCAAGUCGAACGAUGAACCCGGAGCUUGCUCCGGUGGAUUAGUGGCGAACGGGUGAGUAACACGUGAGUAACCUGCCCUUGACUCUGGGAUAACUGCGGGAAACUGUAGCUUAUACCGGAUACGACCCUCGGCGGCAUCGCCAGGGGGUGGAAAGAAUUUCGGUCAAGGAUGGACUCGCGGCCUAUCAGCUAGUUGGUGAGGUAACGGCUCACCAAGGCGACGACGGGUAGCCGGCCUGAGAGGGUGACCGGCCACACUGGGACUGAGACACGGCCCAGACUCCUACGGGAGGCGGCAGUGGGGAAUAUUGCACAAUGGGCGAAAGCCUGAUGCAGCAACGCCGCGUGAGGGAUGAAGGCCUUCGGGUUGUAAACCUCUUUUAGUAGGGAAGAAGCGCAAGUGACGGUACCUACAGAAAAAGCACCGGCUAACUACGUGCCAGCCGCCGCCGUAA